AUAUCACUAAGCGGAGGAAAAGAAACUAACAAGGAUUCCCUUAGUAACGGCGAGUGAACAGGGAAAAGCCCAGCACCGAAGCCUGUGACCGUUUGGUUACUAGGCAAUGUGGUGUUUAGGCCUGUCCUUGUAGGCACUGUCUCACUCUAAGUCCAGUAUUGAGUACGGCGUUUACCUGUCCCAGAGAGGGUGAAAGGCCCGUAGGAGUGGGAUGCAGAAUGGUCAGUGCCUGCCUGGAUAGACCUUGGAGUCGGGUUGUUUGUGAAUGCAGCCCAAAGCGGGUGGUAAACUCCAUCCAAGGCUAAAUACUUGCACGAGUCCGAUAGCGAACAAGUACCGUGAGGGAAAGUUGAAAAGUACUUUGAAGAGAGAGUAAACAGUGCGUGAAGCCGCUCAAAGGUAAACGGGUAGAGUUGAACUGCAAGCUCUGAGGAAUAAGCUAGUGAGAUUGGCGUGGCCUUGGCCAUGUGGGUUGUGCGCUGGGAUCCAUGAGCUUAUAUGGGUCUGACCCUUUCGGGGGGAGGAUGCGUUUGGGUGCUUAUCAGGCACUGCGCGUUCCAGUGUGUGUGUUCGAAUCCGCUCGCUAGUGCACGUUCUCAGGGUGUUCACCACGACCGACGCAGCCGUCUGUCUGUUGUAUUCAAACCCGGCCUGCUUAGUCCUUGUGGCUUUGUAGGUCGGGGAUGGCAGGUAGCUUGUUUGUGCGUACCAGCAAUGGUGCGUACGUUCAAGUGUAAUCAGCUGGGUAUAGCAGAACUGUGCGGUGUGUCGGAGACGGCGGCUUGGUAUGGCUGCAUGUCGCCUAGUUUGGUUAGGCUGGUUUGGGUCUGGUUGUCGUGUUGCUUGUGAAAAUGGCAAGCCCGAUGAUGGCUCGGAUCAGUCUGGUCGGCGGUGGCGUGUGCUGUUCAUUAAGGGCCGUAUAGUCUGUGGUGUAGUGGUAGACGAUCUACCCGA
rnacentral:rRNA from 1 species